AACGUCCGUCGUGAAGAGGGAAACAACCCAGACCGCCAGCUAAGGUCCCAAAGUCAUGGUUAAGUGGGAAACGAUGUGGGAAGGCCCAGACAGCCAGGAUGUUGGCUUAGAAGCAGCCAUCAUUUAAAGAAAGCGUAAUAGCUCACUGGUCGAGUCGGCCUGCGCGGAAGAUGUAACGGGGCUAAACCAUGCACCGAAGCUGCGGCAGCGACGCUUAUGCGUUGUUGGGUAGGGGAGCGUUCUGUAAGCCUGCGAAGGUGGCCUGUGAGGGUUGCUGGAGGUAUCAGAAGUGCGAAUGCUGACAUAAGUAACGAUAAAGCGGGUGAAAAGCCCGCUCGCCGGAAGACCAAGGGUUCCUGUCCAACGUUAAUCGGGGCAGGGUGAGUCGACCCCUAAGGCGAGGCCGAAAGGCGUAGUCGAUGGGAAACGGGUUAAUAUUCCCGUACUUGGUGUUACUGCGAAGGGGGGACGGAGAAGGCUAUGUUGGCCGGGCGACGGUUGUCCCGGUUUAAGCGUGUAGGUGUGUGUUCCAGGUAAAUCCGGUUCACUUUAACACUGAGGCGUGACGACGAGGCACUACGGUGCUGAAGCAACAAAUGCCCUGCUUCCAGGAAAAGCCUCUAAGCAUCAGGUAACAUCAAAUCGUACCCCAAACCGACACAGGUGGUCAGGUAGAGAAUACCAAGGCGCUUGAGAGAACUCGGGUGAAGGAACUAGGCAAAAUGGUGCCGUAACUUCGGGAGAAGGCACGCUGACACGUAGGUGAAGUGAUUUACUCAUGGAGCUGAAGUCAGUCGAAGAUACCAGCUGGCUGCAACUGUUUAUUAAAAACACAGCACUGUGCAAACACGAAAGUGGACGUAUACGGUGUGACGCCUGCCCGGUGCCGGAAGGUUAAUUGAUGGGGUCAGCGCAAGCGAAGCUCCUGAUCGAAGCCCCGGUAAACGGCGGCCGUAACUAUAACGGUCCUAAGGUAGCGAAAUUCCUUGUCGGGUAAGUUCCGACCUGCACGAAUGGCGUAAUGAUGGCCAGGCUGUCUCCACCCGAGACUCAGUGAAAUUGAACUCGCUGUGAAGAUGCAGUGUACCCGCGGCAAGACGGAAAGACCCCGUGAACCUUUACUAUAGCUUGACACUGAACAUUGAGCCUUGAUGUGUAGGAUAGGUGGGAGGCUUUGAAGUGUGGACGCCAGUCUGCAUGGAGCCGACCUUGAAAUACCACCCUUUAAUGUUUGAUGUUCUAACGUGGACCCGUUACCCGGGUUGCGGACAGUGUCUGGUGGGUAGUUUGACUGGGGCGGUCUCCUCCUAAAGAGUAACGGAGGAGCACGAAGGUUGGCUAAUCCUGGUCGGACAUCAGGAGGUUAGUGCAAUGGCAUAAGCCAGCUUGACUGCGAGCGUGACGGCGCGAGCAGGUGCGAAAGCAGGUCAUAGUGAUCCGGUGGUUCUGAAUGGAAGGGCCAUCGCUCAACGGAUAAAAGGUACUCCGGGGAUAACAGGCUGAUACCGCCCAAGAGUUCAUAUCGACGGCGGUGUUUGGCACCUCGAUGUCGGCUCAUCACAUCCUGGGGCUGAAGUAGGUCCCAAGGGUAUGGCUGUUCGCCAUUUAAAGUGGUACGCGAGCUGGGUUUAGAACGUCGUGAGACAGUUCGGUCCCUAUCUGCCGUGGGCGCUGGAGAACUGAGGGGGGCUGCUCCUAGUACGAGAGGACCGGAGUGGACGCAUCACUGGUGUUCGGGUUGUCAUGCCAAUGGCACUGCCCGGUAGCUAAAUGCGGAAGAGAUAAGUGCUGAAAGCAUCUAAGCACGAAACUUGCCCCGAGAUGAGUUCUCCCUGAGACUUAAAGUCUCCUGAAGGAACGUUGAAGACGACGACGUUGAUAGGCCGGGUGUGUAAGCGCAGCGAUGCGUUGAGCUAACCGGUACUAAUGAACCGUGAGGCUUAACCUUACAACGCCGAAG
rnacentral:rRNA from 1 species